rnacentral:rRNA from 1 species
UACCAGCACCCCGAGUGGUCGGGACGUUUAUUGGGCCUAAAGCAUCCGUAGCCGGUUCUACAAGUCUUCCGUUAAAUCCCUCGGCUUAACCGGGGAACUGCGUCUGAUACUGGAUGGCUUGAGUAUGGGAGAGGGAUGCGGAAUUCCAGGUGUAGCGGUGAAAUGCGUAGAUAUCUGGAGGAACACCGGUGGCGAAGGCGGCAUCCUGGACCAUUACUGACGCUGAGGAGCGAAAGCCAGGGGAGCAAACGGG